rnacentral:rRNA from 1 species
UACGUAGGGACCAAGCGUUGUCCGGAAUCAUUGGGCGUAAAGCGCGCGUAGGUGGCUUCGUAAGUCCGUUGUGAAAGUCAAAGGCUCAACCUUUGAAAGCCGAUGGAUACUGCGGAGCUAGAGUACGGAAGAGGCGAGUGGAAUUCCUGGUGUAGCGGUGGAAUGCGCAGAUAUCAGGAGGAACACCAAUAGCGAAGGCAGCUCGCUGGGACGUUACUGACACUAAGGCGCGAAAGCGUGGGGAGCGAGCAGG